UGACUUCCGGUCGGCGCCAGCGCUUAAUGGCGGUCCUCCCUUCGAGCUCCGGAGGAGGACUGCUCCGCGAGUUCGGGUCUGACCUGCUACGGCGAGCGGGGGACCCCUAAAAUCACAGGCGCGGAAGCCUGUGAACAAGGAGACUCGGUGGGCACCUUUUGCGCCCCCCGGUACUGUGAAAGAGCCUUUUUAAAGGCUACGGAGCGGCAUCGGGGGUGAGCGCGGUGCUGAGAGUCGCAACCCAGCCCGUGGAGUGAAGCCGCGUCGCCAUGAGCGGAGAGCGCCGAUUCCUUCCUGAACCAGAAAUUCGACUCUAAAGCCCGUGAGUAAGACGGAGGGACUGAAAGGGACAUUUAAAUUUAAAUCUUGAAAUUUGGCUGAAAACGGGAAAGGCAUAAAUUAAGGAAGUCUGCCUCCCCGAUCUGCAUGGCAAGUAAAGCAACGAAAGAGUAAAGCUGCAUUUGAAAGAAAAUUACCUUUAAGCUGUCAAACCUGACAUUUGACUUAAACCUCCCCCCCAGUAAGCAGGAGAGGGGGAAGAAAAUUGGACACUGUUAACCUGCUUGAAAUUAAAUGAGG